GCCCUGUGGUUACUGUAGACUGGGAGGACUGUACAGUUCUGCAGUUAAGAAUGGGCAAACAAUAAUACUGUGAUAUUUGCAUAGAGUCUGAAAUGGUUAACCUUCAGUCUCCAUAGCCCGGUCGCAGGAACAGUG